UAGAUGCACGGAAAGGCAGAAACUUGACCUGGUCCCCAGCCUCUCAGGCAGGACAGCCGCUUUAUCCAGAGGCUCCUUCAUUCCUGGGCCUUCCAAGACACCUGGCUGCAAGGACACCAUGAAGAGGAAAAAAGAAUUUCAAGUGCAUUCUAAAAACCACCUUCAUUCUCUUGCCGUGUAGGGAAGGAGCAUGUACUCAAAGACCCAGCCAGGAAGAAAGAUUUGAUCUCCUGAGCAGGAUCCACUUCCCAUGGCGACGCCUUCUUGAGUAGAAGCUCUGGAUGGCAGUCACAGGGUUCCAGGACUCUCAGAGAGUGUUCCCAAAGACCCAGGUGGAAGCUGGAAAGGUUUUUCUGAUGUAGCUGCAGAAGGCAUGCAUCAUCAUUUGCAAGUGAGUCCCAGGACCAGUCUGGAUUCAAGGAGAGGGUGCUACCUAAGUACAUGAAUACUGAGAGGUACAGUUUAUUGGGACCCUCUUACAGUUGCAUGGAGCACAGAAUCAAAGGCUCCCCUAGGCUCUUUGAAUACACUUGUCUCUCUCUUUCCGGGGGUGGGGAGGAGGUCUGGCCAUCUUUUUAAUUUUGGCUGCAAGCUGGCUGCAGGAGCACAACCUUCCUGCAUGUGUCCACAGUCUCCUUCAAGGCCAGCAGAAUGUGGACAGCCCCAUUGUGAUCAGAGUACACAGUAAGUUACCAAACUCCUGUAAUGUUAGAGUGCCCGUUGCCACCUCCUCCAGCCCACUGCCACUUGGUAUCUUGGGGGCUUUGGCUUAAGCUGAACACCUUCACUGGAAACAUCUUGGAGAACUUGGCUUUGACUUACAUGAAGACUUGAGCAAGUAUCUAAAAGCUUGGCCUUCUCCUGAUAUGAGAAGCCAUCCAACAGUACUCACAGGGGUUUCAUGGGCAGGACUAGGAUGCCAUGCCCAUGCAUCCAAAAUGAUUGUUUUUAAUGGCUAUAAAAUAUUUCAUCCAGUGGGUGCAACAUGCUUUACCAAACCACUUCUCCACUCUUAAAUGUUUGCACUUUCUUAUUAUUUAUGAGUAAUACUAUAUGUUUUUGUGCACAGAGCCUUUUGUGUUAAAUUCUUCCCUUAAGAUAGAUUUCCAAGAGUAGUAUUAUGUUUUGGCUCUUGAUGUAUUUUAUCAGUUUGCUUUCCAAAGAAGCAAACAAUUCAUAUGCAAAUAGCACUGUAUGUGUAUAUUGGCUUUUCUGUAACCUCAACAGCGUUGAGAGUUACCAUUUUAAAAUGUUGUUUUCUAAUUUAAUAGGUGUAAAACCGAACUUAAGGUUGCUUUGAAUUUCUUUUUUCCCUGUUUACUCUGUCCUAAGUUGUCAGUUCUUCCCUCUUAAACCAAUAUUAUAAAGGGUUAGUUUGUUGAAUUUGUAUCAAUUUGGUACUGGUUGUUUAGGUGAAACUUAGGUCAUUCAAAGCAGUGGCUCUAGUACAAUUUGUAUUAAAGCUGUUCUUCUAACCAUUAAAAAGAUCAAAACAUUUAAGUUCUAAAUCUCAGAGAUAAGCAGCAGCAAUAUUUUUCUUCUUGGAUUCUGCACCUACAGGAAAUUCAUAAACAGGAGCAGUACCUAGUUAUAUCUGAAAUAACAGAGAAAACGCAACACAAACAAAAACCCAAAACGUUUGGAAAUAACCCCUUAUGUGUGUAAGACAACUUAGAGGUUAUAAGUAGCUUUCACAUUUAUUAUCUCAUUUGAGUUUUAUAUUCAUCCUGGUGGUAAACUGGAGGAGUUAUUAUGACCUUUUAACAAAUGAGAACAUUGAGGCUCAGAGAAGGUAAGUGCACAGUGACCCAGCUAGUUAACUAUGGCAGAUCUGAGUAGCAUUCAGGCUUUCUGACACCAAACAAAUUUGUUCCACAUUUAUUUAAAAAGUCAUUAGUGGUGACUCAUCACGUCUCAGGCAAUAGGCUAGAAGAUGGGGAUGCAGUUAUAAAUAAGAACCUGUCCUCCUGGAGCUUAUAGUCUAAUAGGAGAGAACAAUCACCAUAUAAACUAGGAAGCACAGGAGACCUAAACUACUCAGAGCAGACACUCAGGCCAGCCUGGGGUUGGGGGGCAGGAAUUAAGGUAGGCUUGUUAGAGGAAGUCAAGAUUAAUGAGCUACCUAUGCUAUGAGGGAUGGGGCAGGAUUGAUCUCGUCCAAGGGAAGUAAUUGAUACAGAAGUGAAGGUGUGUAUGGAGGUAGACAUGACAAGCCUUUGUUGGAUGUGGGAGGCGAGGGUGAGGGAUUCACUGCGGAUGAAGCCCAGGUUUCUGCCUGAGUAAGUUGGAAGGGUGGGAGAAGAGGAGUGAGAGGAGUAGAGGAGGAAGAGCAAGUCAGAGGCAUGUGGGUGUGCAUGCGUGUGAUGUGUGGUGAUUGUCAAGCUCUGAAAAUCCUCAGGUAAACAAGAACCUUUCUUUUCCCUAGAGAAAGCCAUAGUCCAAUGUGACCCUAACAAAUAAUUCUGAUAUAAAGUGAGAUGUGCUAUGUGGUAGACAUGUGUAUGAGGUUCUAAGGGCAGAGAGGAGGGCAGGACAAAAUCUGUGUGGUAGGAAGAGAACCAUCGAGGGGGUUUUGCAGAGGAAGCAAUACAAAUGUGGAGAGUGCAAGAGGGUUUCCAGUAACAGGUGUGAAGGAGCUGGGGGUUCUGUUUGGCAAGGUGAAGAGUAUGAAUGUGAGUUCUCUUGGAGCUGGAGAGGCUACGGGGCCGAGAGAUAUGGACUUCAUCUUGAUGAUGGUCUAGAGUUCAAGAAAUCCGAAUUCAAUCACUAGAAUGUAGCUACAUCCACUAGGAUGUAAGUUACCCAGGAGCAGUCAGUGAAUAGUGUCUGACACAUAGCAGACACUCAGGGAAUAUCUCUUGAAUGAAUGAGCAGUUGUUGAUAAAGAAAUCUUUGCUUUAUUUUCCAUAUUGUUGGGGAAAUUUCCCAACAUUAUCUAUUUUUUUUAUUAUAUACAUUUCAUAAUAAGGCUUAACAUAAAAAAUUUUUAAGUUUGUUUAUUUUUUGAGAGAGAGAGAGAGCAUGAGCGAGCAGGAGCAGAGAGAGAGGGAAAGAGAGAGAGAGAGAGAGAGAGGGAGACUCCCAAGCAGGCUCCGCACUGUCAGCACAGAGACUGAUGCAGGACUUGAACUCAUGUACCACAUGAUCAUGACCUGAGCUAAGACCAAGAGUCGGACACUUAACCAACUGAGCCACCCAGGCGCCCCCAAAUAUUUUAAAGACCGUUUAAAUUUUAUUUAUUUUGAGAGAGAGAGAGAGAGAGAGUGCACUCAUGUGAGUGCAAGCAGGAAAGGGGCAGAGAGAGAGAGGGAGAGAGAGAGAAUCCCAAGCACUCCACACUGUCAGUGUGGAGCCUGACAUGGAGCUCAAACCCAUGAACCAUGAGAUCAUGACCGAAGUCAAAACCAAGAGCUGGCCACUCAACCAAUUGAGCCACCUAGGCACCCCAUAAAAAUUUUAUACCAAGUUAAAAGCAGAUUUUGUUCAUAUGUGAUUAUGAACAAAUAAUUCAUAAAUAAUUUUUUAAAUAAAAAAUCACAAAUCACAAUUUUUUUCUUUUUUCUUUUUUAAUUUAUUUUUUAUUUUUUUUUAUUUUUUUUAAUGUUUAUUUAUUUCAGAGACAGAGAGAGACAGAGCAUGAGUGGGGGAGGGGCAGAGAGAGAAGGAGACAGAAUCUGAAGCAGGCUACAGGCUCUGAGCAGUCAGCACAGAGCCCGACACGGGACUCGAACUCACAAAUCGUGAGAUCAUGACCUGAGCUGAAGUCGAUCACUCAACCGACUGAGCUACCCAGGCGCCCCACAAAUAAUUUUUUUUAAAUAAAAAGCAAUGUAUAAGUAGUUUUUGUGGAUCUGUAAAAUUUCCCCAUAAGGGUUGCAUAUUAUGUAAGAAUUGAGAAGGGCAUUGGACCAUUUUGAAAAUAUGAAUAGAUGCUAAAGCAUUUUACUUGAUGCUUUUUUCAUUAUCAUUAAAAAGUUGGGAAAGAUUAGAUAACGAAAAUAAGUUGAAAAUUUUUAGAUAUUUCUAGACCAUGUUCUAUCCUGGAACCAGCAAACUUGGUGGGUUUAGCAAGUAUUUUCAAAUGUCAUCCUUGUUGAGGUGAUGAAUAAUACUUAACAACUAACAAAAAGUUAUCAGAUGUUAGAGAUGGGGGAUCCCUUUGACUUCUGGUCCGUCUUUUCAUUGUAUAGGUGAGAAACUGGGGCCCAGAGAGGGAAGGGGACUUGUCAAGAAAACACAGUAAAUCAGAGGGAGAGUCAAGAAUGGCAUUAAGAUAUUUGACUCUUAGUCCCUCACCCUCUUUAUUAUUCCAUGGUGUAGUGGCUACUGUUUUUGUCUAUCUAGAACCCCUUCUUCAAGUUCAGGAAACUGACUUCAUCUCUCUGGCUAUAGGGGUAGGCAUGUACUAGGCCAAUCAUUUUAUAUGCUUCACUUUUUCUGGCAUUAGUCAUUGGUUCAAGGGAUGAGCAUAUGACCCAAACUUUACCAAUCAGAAUCCUUCCCUGGAAUUUGUGGAAAGAAAAGGACCUUUUUCUCUCUAGAUGUGAAGCUGUGAAGAUAUGAACUCAGAGCUGGGUGGCUAAUCCUGUGUCACAUGGAAAGAAUGAGAACAGAAGGAAAACAGAGAGAAAAGAGAGGCAGUCCAGAUGGGAGUUGAAUUACUUAUUCUAGUUGCCAAGGUGUGUCCAUCCAUCAAACACCAAUGAUAAUAUCUUAACAAUAACCAUACUGAUUUUUUUUUUCUUCUUUUGCUUAAACAAGUUGGGCUUGAGUUCCUGUUCCUUUCAGCCAAAGAAUCUAGCCCAGGAUUUCCUAACAGCAGUAGUAUUGACAUUUUGGAACAGAACACUCUGUGUUGGGAGGGGCUGCUCUGUGUACUGUAAGAUGUUUAGUAGCAGCCCUGGCCUUUUACCCCACUAGAUGCCAGUAGCACCUCACCCCAACUGUGACAACCAAAAAUGUAUCCAGACAUUGCCAGAUGUCCCCUGGGGGAUGGAACAAAAUUGCCCCUGGCUGAGAACCACUGGUCUAGUCUUACUUAAACAAACAAACAAACAAACAAAC